GGAGCAACGCCGCGUGAGUGAUGAAGGUUUUCGGAUCGUAAAACUCUGUUGUAAGGGAAGAACAAGUGCGUUAGGUAAUGAACGCACCUUGACGGUACCUUAUUAGAAAGCCACGGCUAACUACGUGCCAGCAGCCGCGGUAAUACGUAGGUGGCAAGCGUUGUCCGGAUUUAUUGGGCGUAAAGCGCGCGCAGGUGGUUUCUUAAGUCUGAUGUGAAAGCCCACGGCUCAACCGUGGAGGGUCAUUGGAAACUGGGGAACUUGAGUGCAGAAGAGGAUAGUGGAAUUCCAAGUGUAGCGGUGAAAUGCGUAGAGAUUUGGAGGAACACCAGUGGCGAAGGCGACUGUCUGGUCUGUAACUGACACUGAGGCGCGAAAGCGUGGGGAGCAAACAGGAUUAGAUACCCUGGUAGUCCACGCCGUAAACGAUGAGUGCUAAGUGUUAGGGGGUUUCCGCCCCUUAGUGCUGCAGCUAACGCAUUAAGCACUCCGCCUGGGGAGUACGACCGCAAGGUNGAAACUCAAAGGAAUUGACGGGGGCCCGCACAAGCGGUGGAGCAUGUGGU
rnacentral:rRNA from 1 species